rnacentral:rRNA from 1 species
CCGUAGCUGGGUUGUUAAGUCUCUUGGGAAAUCUGGCGGCUUAACCGUCAGGCGUCUAAGGGAUACUGGCAAUCUUGGAACCGGGAGAGGUGAGGGGUACUUCGGGGGUAGGAGUGAAAUCCUGUAAUCCUCGAGGGACCACCUGUGGCGAAGGCGCCUCACCAGAACGGCUUCGACAGUGAGGGACGAAAGCUGGGGGAGCAAACCGGAUUAGAUACCCGGGUAGUCCCAGCCGUAGACUAUGCGCGUUAGGUGUAUCGGUGACCACGAGUUACCGAGGUGCCGAAGGGAAACCGUGAAACGUGCCGCCUGGGAAGUACGGUCGCAAGGCUGAAACUUAAAGGAAUUGGCGGGGGAGCACCACAACAGGUGGAGCCUGCGGUUUAAUUGGACUCAACGCCGGGAAGCUCACCGGAUAGGACAGCAGAAUGAUUGCCUGGCUGAAGACCCUGCAUGACUAGCUGAGAGGAGGUGCAUGGCCGUCGUCAGUUCGUACUGUGAAGCAUCCUGUUAAGUCAGGCAACGAGCAAGACCCACGCCAACAGUUGCCAGCAUGGUCUCCGGACUGAUGGGGACACUGUUGGGACCGCCUCUGCUAAAGAGGAGGAAGGAAUGGGCAACGGUAGGUCAGCAUGCCCCGAAUUAUCCGGGCUACACGCGGGCUACAAUGGGCAGGACAAUGGGCAUCGACACCGUGAGGUGGAGGCAAUCUCCUAAACCUGUCCUUAGUUCGGAUUGUGGGCUGAAACUCGCCCACAUGAAGCUGGAAUCUGUAGUAAUCGCGUUUCAAAAUAACGCGGUGAAUUUGUCCCUGCUCCUUGCACACACCGCCCGU